UACAGAGGGUGCGAGCGUUGUUCGGAAUUAUUGGGCGUAAAGGGCGCGUAGGCGGUGCGGUAAGUCACCUGUGAAAUCUCCUGGCUCAACUGGGAGCUUGCAGGCGAAACUGCCGUGCUGGAGUGUGGGGAGAGGUGCGUGGAAUUCCUGGUGUAGCGGUGAAAUGCGUAGAUAUCAGGAGGAACACCUGUGGCGAAAGCGGCGCACUGGACCACAACUGACGCUGAGGCGCGAAAGCUAGGGGAGCAAACAGG
rnacentral:rRNA from 1 species